rnacentral:misc_RNA from 1 species
UCAAACUUGGUCAUUUAGAGGAAGUAAAAGUCGUAACAAGGUUUCCGUAGGUGAACCUGCGGAAGGAUCAUUAUUGAAACAUUGUGAAGGAGGUUGAGCUGGCUACUCGCAUGUGCUCACCUUCUUUCAAUAUUCAUCCACCUGUGCACUUUCUGUAGGGAUAUAGAAGUCUGGAACGGUGUAAAAGCCAAGUACGGGUUUCUAUUCUCUAUGUUUUUACACACACUUAAUGUAUGUCUAUGAAUGUCUACUAGGGGACUUAAUUGACCCUAUAAAAGUUAAUACAACUUUCAGCAACGGAUCUCUUGGCUCUCGCAUCGAUGAAGAACGCAGC